UGGUGGGUAGUUUGACUGGGGCGGUCUCCUCCUAAAGAGUAACGGAGGAGCACGAAGGUUGGCUAAUCCUGGUCGGACAUCAGGAGGUUAGUGCAAUGGCAUAAGCCAGCUUGACUGCGAGCGUGACGGCGCGAGCAGGUGCGAAAGCAGGUCAUAGUGAUCCGGUGGUUCUGAAUGGAAGGGCCAUCGCUCAACGGAUAAAAGGUACUCCGGGGAUAACAGGCUGAUACCGCCCAAGAGUUCAUAUCGACGGCGGUGUUUGGCACCUCGAUGUCGGCUCAUCACAUCCUGGGGCUGAAGUAGG
rnacentral:rRNA from 1 species